rnacentral:lncRNA from 1 species
AUGUACCUGCGCAGCCGUUUGUUAACCAGACCAAAGCCAUAGGGACCAUUCACUAGUGCUAGAGGUAAUCAAGUCUUCAGGCCGGAGGUGAUAGUCACUAGUGCCAGAGAAGAUUAUAAUCGCAAUCUCUGGUUUUAUUUCCCCAACAUCAAGAACGCCAUUCAUUGAAAAAAAUGCUAGCGUCUUAAUCGCCAUCGAGGUUUCGCCAAUCAAGACGCCCAUUCAUUAUAAAACAUGAUAAGGCAACUUGAUCGCAGUACGGAUGUCACCAUGUCACAAUGUUCAUUCAUUACAAUAUGAUAAGACAUCUGAUCGCAAUCGCCAAAUUUUCAAAAUGUAACUCGCCUCCAAGGUGUUCACCUCGCCCAAGGGUUCAAAGGAUUUACCUCUCCAAAGGUGUUCACCUCGCUCAUAGGGCUUCCAAAGGUGUUAACUCGCCCAAAGGGUUCAAGGUUUUCCCACUCGCCCAUAGGCUAUAGGUGUUCCACCUCGCCAAAUGGGUUUUCACUGCUCAAUGUAUUCACCUCGCCAAAAGGGUUUCACCGCGCCCAAAAGUCAAGGUUUUCACCUCGCCCAUAGAGUCACAGGUGGUCACCUCGCAAAGGUGUUCCACCCUCGCCCAUAGGCUCAAAGGUUUCACCUCCCCAUAGGGCUCACAGGUGUUCACCUCGCCCAACGGGUCCAAAUGUUUCACCUCGCCUAUAGGGCCACAGGGUGUUCACCCGCCCAUCGGGCUUAAAGGUGUCACCGCCAAAGGUUCAGCGGUUUUCAACCUCGCCCAUAGGCUUAACGGUGUUAACCUCGCCAACGGGGUUCAAAGGUUUCACCUCACCCAUAGAGCUUAAAGGUGUUCACCUCGCAAAGGUUUGCAACCUCGCCAAUAGGGUUCACAGGUGUCACUCGCAAGGUUUUCACCUCGCCAAUAGGGCUCACAAGUGUGUUCACCUCGCCCCCAGGUGGUCCCUCGUUCCAAGGUGUUCACCUAGUCCAAGGUGCUCACCCGCCCAAAGAGCUCACAAGGUGUUCACUCGCCCAAGGUGAUCACCUCGCCCAUAGGGCUCACAGGUGUUCACCUCGCCCCAGGUGCUCACCUCUCCCAAAGGACUCACAAGUGUCACCGCGACCAAUGGUGCUCAUCACAUUGAGGAUCAUGUGAACAUGGGGGCGAGAUAAUUAAGAUCCCUCAACGGUUGAUAUGAAUUAUCGCCGAAUGUAAUGCAAUUUCUUCUUUCUCCCAAAGUCAAGAUACUACGAGAAUUAUCACCAAUCACCAGUGCACAGGUGAUCAUGUCGCCAGGUGUUGGAGGAGAUCAAUGUCGCUAGCGCCAGACGUGACCCUUUACACCACGCUAAUGUGAUGAUUUCCGCCAAUUUUGGCCAAAAUAGAUUGUCGUCAGUGUUUGAAAGUUUGCCGAACGAUUUUGUUACUUCGAUGAUACCAAUUAUUUACCUUGCAUCUCGACGUAGGGGGCUACUGAUUGGGGUAAAACAUAGCCUAGUGAAAACCAUCUCUCCAUAGGACUUAUUCUCCAAAAAGGCUCCAUCUCCAUUAGAGUCUACCCCACCCGUUAGAGCUCCAACUCCAUCUCAACUCCUAUAAUUUGGAUUGCUCUCCAAGUAUCCCCUCCUACAUUAUCUCCAAUAUUAUUGGGUUUAUCCUUCCAUACUUAUCCUUCCAAGGAUAAACCUGUAACGCUGUGAUCCACGACAUGGCCCAUUACUCCACCUAUAUAAAGGCCGCUCCCCCCGUCAUAUAAGGACAUGUAUACAUAGUUAAACUCUGUCGAUAUAAGACUGAUAGGCAUUGUUUGUUCAUUGCUUAGCUUUGAUCGCCUGGUCUGAUUCGUACGCCGAGGAGUUUUUUAGCGCCUCACCACCCCCGCGGUACAUUUUGUCAUUAAUGCGCAGGUCCGCCCGAGUUUGCCGAGGGCCCCCCCAAAAGUAAACCGAGGUAAAAAGAGCAUAUUGACUGUUGGUUGCUCUCCAGAUUUUUACCACAAGGGGAGCACCUCGCCAAAAGAGUUCAAAGGUUUUCACCUCGCCCAUAGGCUCGACAGAUUGUUCACCUCGCCUAAGUGCUUCACCUCGCCUAUGGGCUCCCAGGUGGUCAACCUCGCCCAUAGGCUUCAAAGUUUUUCACCUCGCCCAUAGGGCCUUAAGGUGUUCACCUCGCAAGGUUCUCACUCGCCUAUAGGGCGCACAGGUGUUUCACCCUCGCCGAAGGUGCUCACCUCGCCAUAGGGCUCAAAGGUUUUCAACCUCGCCCAUAAUGGCUUACCAGGUGUUCACCUCGCAAAGGGUUUUCACUUCGCCCAUAGGGCUCACAGGUGUUCACCUCGCCGAAGGUUUUUUCACACCUCGCUCAAAGGUGUUCACGCUCGCCCAAGGUGCUCACCUCGCCCAAGAUUCUCAAAGGUGUUCACCCUCGCCCAAGGUGUUCACCUCCCCCCCGCCCGAGGUGCGCACCUCGCCCAUAGGGGCUCACUAGUGUGUCCCUGGCUCCCUAAGUGUUACCUCUCCCAAAGGGCCUCCAAGUGUUCACCGUCGUCGCCCAAUGGUGCUCAUCACAUUGAGGAUCAAUGUGACCAUGGGGGUGGGGAGAAUAAGAUCCCUCAAUGUUUGAGAUGAAUUAUUUCGCCGAAUUAGCAAUUUCUCCAAAGAAGUCAGAUACUAAGAGAAUUAUCACCAAUCAACCAGUGCCACAAGUGAUCAUUCGCCAUGUUGGAGGAGAUCAGUCGAUAGAGCCAGAGGUUGACCUUUAUUUAUCACCACAGCUAAUGGAUGAUCGCCCAAAAUGUUUUUGCCAAAAUAGAUUGUCGUCCAUUUAUUCUUUUACCGAACGAUUUGUUCCUCGAGAUACCAGUAUUUUACCUGGCAUCUCGGUAGGGGGGCUACUGAUGUGGGGGAAAAAAAUGGCUAGUGAAAGACCAUCUCCAUGAGGACUUAUUCUCCAAAAGGCUCUAUUCCAUUAUACUCUACCACCGUGAGACUCCAACUCAUCACAACCCUAUAUUAUGGAUUGCUUCUCCAGUAUCAACCUCCUACAUUAUCUCACUAUAUUGGGAGAUCCUCCCAUACUUUAUCCUUCCAAGGAUAACGCCGUGAUCCACGGACAUGGCCUUACUCCACCUAUUAAAGGCCGCUCCCCCGCAUUAUAAGGACAUGAUACAUAAGUUUUAACUAACUCGGGCAUAUGACUGAUAGCAUUGUUUGUUCAUUGCUAAGCUUUUGAUCGCCUUGGUCUGAUCGUACGCCGGAGGGGUUUUGAGCGGCCUCACCCCCGCCGGUAACAUUUGUUCAUUUAACUGCGGCAGGUCGCCCGAGUUAUGCCCGAUGUCCAUUACCGAGGUAAAAGAGCAAUAUUGACUGUUGGGUUGCUCUCCAGAUUUUUACCACAACAUUUAAUACUUUUUAUUUUUCUAGUUCGUGUCGCUAGAAGGAUAGGAAAAAAAGGGAAAAAAACAUUUUUAUUCACUUUUUAGUAAAAAUGGAUUUUAAGAAUUUAAAAUAGUCUAUUUUGUCAAUAAAAGAGGAAAUUAAAAACAGUAAACUUAUAUCCUAUUCUUUCUCUCAUUUCAUAGAGGAUUUUAAACGCACCCCUUUAGUUUUUUUUUAUACACCCAUGACCCGAUGACACAAAAUAUUUUUGAAUCUUUCAAAUUAUCUUUCACUAUUUACAGUUGAAAUUUAUUUGAAUUAAUUCAGAGACUAUUUUUUUCUCAAAAAAAUAUAUCAUUCUUUCUUCUCAAAGGUGCCAUGCCUCCAUAAGUUGUGAUCUAAUGGUCAAAAUUUUUUUUAAAACUGAGCAUAUUUUUUACUCAUUGGAUCAUUUUUUUAGUGGUACACACACUAAAAAAAACUAAAACACCUAUUCCUUUCUCCUCAUUUCUUUCAAAUUAGCAACACUUUUCAAAAUUAUUAAAUUUUUUAAUUUAUUCUCUAUUUUGUAGUAAUAUAUAUCUUUAUAUAUGCAUGUAAUAUAUUUUUUAUCUGACAUUUAUAUCUUAUCUGUUUUUUAAGUUGUAAAACUCUAACAAAUAUGCUUAAGAGGUGAUUUUUUUUUUUUGGCUAGUGCUUGUAGGCACGGACAAUUACUAAUGUUUAUGUCUAAGAAAGAAGAACUAUUUUGGACCUUUUUUUAAAAAAAAAAUGGGUGUGAAGAGUGGAGUUAUUGUUGCAUUUUAACAAUUUCCACUUGUAAUCUUCCCUUGAUUAGAGGAAUCUGUUUUUUAUUUCUAGGAUAAUCCCUUGUUUACGGGAAUCUGUUUUUUACAUUCCUAUUUUUGCAGCUAGGGUUGUAUCUAUUACCCCGCUGUUGUGCAGAUCAUAAGGGAAUGAAAAAUUUCUCUUUUCUCAGAAAUUUUGUGUCCCUUUGUCUUCUACAUGGUAUCAGAGCUGUAAGGUCUUGAUAUUCUUUGGGUUUUUUUUCCUUCUUCUUCGCCUUAAUCGCCGUUUAAACGCUGUUCUCAUUGGCCUUCAUUGUCGGGAAAUUUCUGCGUUUGGCGCCUCAGCCAAAUCUAUUGCCAAAUCUGUUAGUGCCCUAGCCCCAAUCUAACCCGAACUCGAAGUACCGGAAGUGUCCGAGCUUUCAAAGGACCUGUUCAUUUAAAAAACAUGGUCAGAGACAUCCAAAUCAACAACACUGCUGUCAGAACGAAGACGUGGCACCAUAUCUAGUCAGCUGGGGAAUUGCAACAGAUCAAUCAGCAUACCGAUUGAUGAAAAAAACUACUUGAAGUGGUCAUCACCUUGUUCGCACCACUUGAAGAAAAAAGUAAGUCAUCUGCUUGGAACAGGGCUGAAGAAGGACGAUUCCUCGUUUGAUGCUUGGGACGAGGAAGAUUCCACUUGUCAUGGCUUGGCUUUGAAUUUCCAAUGACAUCUGAAAUCAGUGACAUUGUAUGUUGUUGACACAACCGCGAAGGAAUUUUGGGAACUGUUCGACAACGACGCAAAUAAAAGUGACUUGGCACAAAAGUCCCGAUGUGAGACACAAUAGU